GAUGAACGCUGGCGGCGUGCUUAACACAUGCAAGUCGAACGAAGCACUUUAUUUGAUUUCCUUCGGGACUGAUUAUUUUGUGACUGAGUGGCGGACGGGUGAGUAACGCGUGGGUAACCUGCCUUGUACAGGGGGAUAACAGUUGGAAACGGCUGCUAAUACCGCAUAAGCGCCCAGCAUCGCAUGAUGCAGUGUGAAAAACUCCGGUGGUAUAAGAUGGACCCGCGUUGGAUUAGCUAGUUGGUGAGGUAACGGCCCACCAUGGCGACGAUCCAUAGCCGACCUGAGAGGGUGACCGGCGACAUUGGGACUGAGACACGGCCCAAACUCCUACGGGAGGCAGCAGUGGGGAAUAUUGCACAAUGGGCGAAAGCCUGAUGCAGCGACGCCGCGUGAGCGAAGAAGUAUUUCGGUAUGUAAAGCUCUAUCAGCAGGGAAGAUAAUGACGGUACCUGACUAAGAAGCACCGGCUAAAUACGUG
rnacentral:rRNA from 1 species